UACAGAGGUCUCAAGCGUUGUUCGGAUUCAUUGGGCGUAAAGGGGUGCGUAGGCGGCGCGGUAAGUCGGGUGUGAAAUCUCGGGGCUUAACCGAGGAACUGCCCUCCAGACUGCUUUGCUUGAGGCCGGGAGAGGUGAGUGGAAUUCCCAGUGUAGCGGUGAAAUGCGUAGAUAUUGGGAGGAACACCAGUGGCGAAGGCGGCUCACUGGACCGGUUCUGACGCUGAGGCGCGAAAGCGUGGGGAGCAAACGGG
rnacentral:rRNA from 1 species